CCAAUUGGAGCAAUGAUCCGUCCACAUUCCCUUUCAUGAUCCGCUCUGGAGCCAACAGCCUGCUGUGAAAAUUGUGCUCGCCGGGGUGAUGGGUGCAGUCCGGUCUGUGGCUGAGAAACAUAUUAUCUACAAGCCAGCCCAGGGAUGCAGUUCAGGUCUUGUUGUAAGGCAGCUCAAAUUUCCACGGUAAACCAGCUGGCUUUAUGACCAGAGAAAUCAGCAGAUAGAGCCUAUGGCAGCUACAGCUGAAGGCAAGUGAGAAGGUCAUCCCACAAAGGAGACAGUCAGAAAAUGGAAGCCCCAGGUUACUGCAAAUUGGAAGAAUGUCAAGAUAAGACCAGAGGAAAGAGAGAAAUACUGAGAAUUGCAUUUUUUUUUGGUCAAAAAGUAUGGAUAAACAAUUGUAAUGUGUAAACUCUGCCCAAAUGUCUGGCUGGCCUAGACCACGCACAUAAGGAUAGACUCAAUGAUGCUAAAAAUCAAAGGACUUAAUU
rnacentral:lncRNA from 1 species